AUUGAACGCUGGCGGAAUGCUUUACACAUGCAAGUCGAACGGUAGAGGGGGCAACCCCUCGAGAGUGGCGAACGGGUGAGUAAUAUAUCGGAACGUGCCCAGUCGUGGGGGAUAACGUAGCGAAAGUUACGCUAAUACCGCAUACGAUCUAAGGAUGAAAGCGGGGGAUCGCAAGACCUCGCGUGAUUGGAGCGGCCGAUGUCAGAUUAGGUAGUUGGUGGGGUAAAGGCUCACCAAGCCAACGAUCUGUAGCUGGUCUGAGAGGACGACCAGCCACACUGGAACUGAGACACGGUCCAGACUCCUACGGGAGGCAGCAGUGGGGAAUUUUGGACAAUGGACGCAAGUCUGAUCCAGCCAUUCCGCGUGCAGGAUGAAGGCCCUCGGGUUGUAAACUGCUUUUGUACGGAACGAAAAGGUCUCUCUUAAUACGGGGGACUCAUGACGGUACCGUAGGAAUAAGCACCGGCUAACUACGUGCCAGCCGCCGCCGUAAAAC
rnacentral:rRNA from 1 species